rnacentral:lncRNA from 1 species
GGCAGGCGCGGGUGAGCAUCCUCUGAGAGCUUGGGUCUUGCGUAUGUGGAAGGUCAGAGACCCCUCUACCCUAGUUUCCACUUCUUGGUGUCAUGAAGACCACUGGUCUUCACGUCCGCUCCCACCCUACAGGCCGCCAGGGAGACCAGUGCCGCCCACCAUGCGAUUUCGACGCUUGACCCCUGGUUACUUCCGGGUGUUACAGAUGCAGGUAGCUGGUGAGCUGAAGGCAGAGCCCCGGAGUCUGCUGGCAGGAGUUGUGGCUACAGUGCUAGCUGUCCUCGGCCUGGGUGGCUCCUGCUAUGCCGUCUGGAAGAUGGUGGGGCAGCGGCGGGUGCCACGGGCCCCGUAACGAAGAAGAGAGACUCUCACUUGGAUGCUGGGGGGCUCGACGCUCAGCUGCUUCAGCCUGGGAGAAAGAAAAACAGGAGUUGGGAGCUGACCAGGUGAGAGCCCUAUCUGCUGAGCACCCAUCCAUCAAUCCUCUCCUUA